CACCAACUACUGUCAACAAAAACAGAAUCCAAGCAUAGAUUACAGCAUAACAAAGUCUACUUCACAGAGACAGCUUAAAACUAAACACCCUCCCUAUUUCUAUCCUCUAAAUGGAUCUAGGUACGCAAAGGGAGCAGAUUUCAUCAGUAACCACCUCACUUCCUCUUCUUGGUAGGUGGUUGGGGGACAUCCUCUUCAUCCUCCUCUUCCUCAUCAUCCUCAUCAUCCUCCUCGUCAUCUUCAUCGUCGUCGUCAUCAUCGUCAUCUUCAUCAUCGCUCCCAUCUUCGCCAUUAGCAGCAGGAUUCUCUUCGACGUCAUCAUCUUCUUCUUUAUCUCCCUCAUCAUCUGAGGCAUCGUCUUCACCUGCAUCAUCAUCUUGAUCAUCAGCAUCUUCAUCCUCAUCAUCGUCGUCAUCGUCAUCUUCUGAAUCGCCGGCAUCUUUGCUCUCAGGUACAGAUUGAGAUUUGUUUCCUCCUGGAGCAGCUACAGGUAUCCUUCCAUCAAUGGCUUCUGGCGUCAUGCCCAAGACACCGAUUUCACACAAAGAGUCGACCAGCAAGACGAACCAAGCAGCCGACGCUGUCGCGGCCAACAGGAUCUUCGCCGCAAUGGCUUCAACAUUGCGGGCGUGAACGCCCUCGAAAGAGGCGGCGCCGCUGCUGCACAGAACCCCCAUCGCCGCUGAAACCCUAG
rnacentral:misc_RNA from 1 species